rnacentral:rRNA from 1 species
AUUGAACGCUGGCGGCAGGCCUAACACAUGCAAGUCGAACGAGUGGCGGACGGGUGAGUAAUGUCUGGGCCACCGCCUGAUGGAGGGGGAUCACCACUGGAAACGGUCUCUAAUAACCCAUACUCUCGUAUGCGCCUAGCUGGGAUGAGCUAGUAGGGGGGGUAACGUCUCACCUAGGCGACGAUCCCUAGCUGGUCUGCGAGGAUGACCAGCAACACUGGAACUGAGAAACGGCCCAGAUUCCUACGGGAGGAAGCAGUGGGGAAUAUUGCACAAUGGGCGCAAGCCUGAUGCAGCCAUGCCGCGGGGAUGAAGAAGGCCUUCGGGUUGUAAAGUACUUUCAGCGGGGAGGCGUUACCCGCAGAAGAAGCACCGGCUAACUCCGUGCCAGCAGCCGCGGUAAUAC